UGGGGAAUAUUGCACAAUGGGCGCAAGCCUGAUGCAGCCAUGCCGCGUGUAUGAAGAAGGCCUUCGGGUUGUAAAGUACUUUCAGCGGGGAGGAAGGCGAUAAGGUUAAUAACCUUGUCGAUUGACGUUACCCGCAGAAGAAGCACCGGCUAACUCCGUGCCAGCAGCCGCGGUAAUACGGAGGGUGCAAGCGUUAAUCGGAAUUACUGGGCGUAAAGCGCACGCAGGCGGUCUGUCAAGUCGGAUGUGAAAUCCCCGGGCUCAACCUGGGAACUGCAUUCGAAACUGGCAGGCUAGAGUCUUGUAGAGGGGGGUAGAAUUCCAGGUGUAGCGGUGAAAUGCGUAGAGAUCUUGAGGAAUACCGGUGGCGAAGGCGGCCCCCUGGACAAAGACUGACGCUCAGGUGCGAAAGCGUGGGGAGCAAACA
rnacentral:rRNA from 1 species